UCGGCUUGACAUCCCAAGAAUCUUGUGGAAACACGCACAAGAUUUUCGGGGUGUCCGGUGCC
rnacentral:rRNA from 1 species